rnacentral:lncRNA from 1 species
UGUCCAUGAAUGUGGUGGUGUGCUUGUUGUAGGCAUAAUUGGUAUCUUCAUCUCUACCCUUUGUUUAAUCUUUUCUCUCCUUUUUUUAAAAGAAAGUUGCGUGACUCUUUUGUGUGCCUUCCUAUACUUUUUUUUUAGAGAAAGAUGUGAAGCAAUAAGGAAAGAAUUGCUUGAUUAAAUAUGUGUAGAUGGAUGUAUAUAUUUUCUGUUAUUUGAGGUUCCGUUGGUAGGAGCCAUG